AGUCAAAAGAAACUGUUUUAGAACUGGAGGACAGGUGAAAGUUCUCUUUCAAACUCUUCCAAGUGUGAGUGGUAGAGGAAUAAAACAGAAAUCACUGGACAUUUGGAAUGGAAUCCAGGAAGAGAAAUAUGAAUUUUUGAAUGGCUAAAGCAUGCUAAUGCACCUUCAUUCAGAGGCAUAGAAUGCUGAUAAUUCUAGUUAUUUCAUAAAGGAACAUCUCAAAAACCUGCCCAAGAGAGAGGUACUUACUGAAUGGUUGCUUUAGUAACACUUGUUCCAUCCACUUCUUUCAAUGUUCUAAGUUCUUACUUUCACCAGAGAAGUAUCCACACUUGAAGAAUCUCCUUUACUGACUGCUUUUAUAUUAUCUUUAUCAAAAGACUCUACAAGGAGUUAGUCCAUUUUCUUUAGCAAAAGACAUGGCUCACCACAUCAUCAGAGCUCUCUGUAUAAGAAAACUGACUUUAGAUGAUAGUCAGAACCAGCAGCCUUAUAUUACUGGACACAUUGCUUUUUCAUUCUGACCAUCGGGAAGGCUAUGGCUGAGUCAAACCUUCUUUUAUCUAGGACUAAGAUGAUAACUAAUAAAUAGGUACAGAAUGUGAGUUACUUUGAAGACUUUUCCAAAAGAAGUUUCAAUGAAGUUGGAGGAGUGGGAGAGGAGAACCCCUGAAAGAACAAAUGCAGAAUAGACUUUAAGAGGUUUCAUCCUAAGAAAAAGAUUAGGGAAUAAAAGACAGAAGGCAGAGGGCAGGACUGGUAGUAACCUAGAACAGACAUUCACAUUUGUGGAAGUAGUGGAGGGAUGCAAGACAGGAGUUUUGAGAUUUGGAGGAGAGUACACAAGUAAUGUCUUUCUCCACUUACAUUUGGAAUUGAUUGUGGUACAGACAUAGGAAUCACAGAGAUGGAGAUCAAAAUGCAGUAUUACCUUUUUGAACUUUAAUAGUUGAUGCUUAAUGGAGAGCAUAGGUCUAGAUCUGGGAUGGUAGGCUAGCCUGUGCAGCUUUCAGCCACAUGCCUUACCAUCAAGGAUAAGCCCCAUAUGGUAGAGCAGAGAGCAGAUCAGACCUUACAUUACUUGAACAGGCUGGACGGACCCCUGACAGAGAAGGCUGAGUCUAGCACCCCAGUUGGUUUUCCCAAUUCACUAGUCGAAUGUCACACUGUCCUUUUCAAAAAAUGAGGAGACAAGGGAUGUGGAAAGAGGUCACAUGGAAGCAGGAAGAACGAUGACUAAGUGACCCCUUUACAAGAAAGAGUGAAGGAGAGAAAAAGAAUAAGAUGAGAACAUGAAGUUACUGCUCUACCAGAACAUGAAGUCGUCCACUAGGAGUGAAGGAGAACAUUGCAACUUCAGGGAGGAAGUGUGCAUCAUCAGAAACUUGAAUGUCAUCAUCACCGCCCACUCUCUGACAGGGUCUCAAGAUGAAAUCAUCCUGGACUUACAAUGGGCCCCAAAUCCAAAACUGGUGUCCUUAUUAAAUGAAAACACAGAAACACGAAAAAGAAAGAAAGAAAGAAAGUCUGUGUGAUGAUGGAGAGGCAGAGAUUAGAGUUAUUCUGCCACAAGCAAAGGAACAUCAGAAGCCUCCAGAAAUUGAAAGAGACAAGGAAGGAUUAUUCCCUGGAGCCUUUAGAAGAAGCAUGGCCCUGCUAAUUACAUAACUUCAGACUUCUGUGUCCAGAAAUGUGAUAGAAUAAAUUUCUGAUUUUUUAAACCACCAAGUUUAUAGUAAUUUUUAACAGCAGCCAUAAGAAAUUAAUACAGGUAUUUUAUUUUAUUCCUGAUUUAAUCCUCCAAACCACCCUAAGGGGUAAAUGCUAUUAUCUCUAUUUUUUUAAAUAUGAAAGCAAACUUAGAAGUUAAAUAAAUUGCUGACAGCCACACAGCUAAGU